rnacentral:rRNA from 1 species
AUGUCAGUGACAAAACGGCAGGCUGCCGUACGUCAGAGGAUCCUCACCCUUGGUCACCGUCCCGCACAAACCCUACCCUUUCAAGGGCUCCCAGAUCGAUGCAGCCGCCUCCCUUAUCCCUCUCUUCCUCCCCCAAUGCGCCGGCCGCCGCCACCUGCCAUACCGCGUCCCCGCUGCGGCCAUGGCCUCUUCAAGAGGCACGCCCCUCCAUGGUCAGAAGCAGCAGACCAGGAUCCGGAUGAGGAAGAGGAGAUCCGGGCGCCCCAACGGUGGAUCGAUCGAUGCCCGGAUGAGGAAGAGGAGAUCCAGGCGCCCCAAUGGUGGAUCGAUCGUUGCGAGGUGACGACGAGCUCCUCCGGACGUGGGGGAGCAGUGAGGCUGGAGAUCCAGUCGGUGCAUGCCCCACGGGGUUGGGGAGACGCCGGCAAUAGGGGCAAGGUGCAUCAGGGUCGAAGCUGCAGCGCUCCGGUCCCCAAGCCGCCUCCAGGCUCGCUUCCUCCUCCAUCCUCCCGCAUCUCAUCCAUCUCGACGGAUACGAGGCGUGCGGGCACGGAGGCGAGGUUCUCCGGCGGCGGCGGGAACCUCCAGGCAGAGAGCGACCCCAUGGAUCCGUCCCUGCAGAAGAGAAGGAAGGAGAGGAGACAGGCCAUGGAGAUGGGAUGAGAACGUCCAUGGCCAGCCAAUCGAGCCCACCUCCGGUGCGCGACCCCAGGAAGGAUUUUGCGCUGCCGUCUUCUUUCGCCGGUCUGUGCCCUGGAAGAGCGACACCAGCCAGGCAUUGUAUGGGAAUGAAGCAAAAAGUCUGCCUUCCAUUGGCGUUACUGCACCUGGUUAUCUACAGUGGAAGGCAAGGAUAACUAGAUUAAACAUUUCACAAGACCCUCCCAAUUACAGGCACAAACUCCUUUCAAGAUAUUACAAGUGUGGUUGAUUACGGGAGAUUGUCAGAUGAAAAGAAGGUAUAUCCUUUAUAUUUAUCUAGAUGUUUAAUUAGCUGCACAACCAUACGUGAUUCUAUAAGGAAACUAUUUAUCCUGGCGAUCUUGAUAUCCAGUCAUGUAUUACAAUAUUAGUAUAGGCUGUAAUUUUUGGCUAGGAAUCUAUAUAUACAGAACCUAAACUGAAGACUCAAUAUAGCACAUAUACUUGGCCAGUUAUCCUAAGAAUAUUAAUCCACCUGGACUUUUAACUUGACUUCCAAAGAAGUUCUUAACGAUCAAGCAUUUUUGAGUUUUUAGUAAAUUGAAAUAAUGUUGCACUUUGACAAUACUAUUCUGAUUUUGCAAGUUAAUAGAAAUCCUUCAGUUUCAUACCACUUUUUUAAUCGCGCAUUUGGAUGAGUAUUAGUAUAGGCUGUAAUUUUUGGCUAGGAAUCUAUAUAUACAGAACCUAAACUGAAGACUCAAUAUAGCACAUAUACUUGGCCAGUUAUCCUAAGAAUAUUAAUCCACCUGGACUUUUAACUUGACUUCCAAAGAAGUUCUUAACGAUCAAGCAUUUUUGAGUUUUUAGUAAAUUGAAAUAAUAUUGCACUUUGACAAUACUAUUCUGAUUUUGCAAGUUAAUAGAAAUCCUUCAAUUUCAUACCACUUUUUUAAUCGCACAUUUGGAUGAUUGCGACAUUAUCUCUUCUCAGAAUUCCGCUUGCAUGUUUCCAGUUGAGACAAUAACUGAGUUUGAUAAGUAACCACUAUAUUAUUUUCUAUGUGUACACAUGUUGUCGCUCUGCUUGAGUCAUCCAUCUCCACAUUACGAGCCCGAGACUUCCAUCACAACAAACUAUAUGUAUCCAGGUAGUGUCCAAUAUGUACACACAGGCUCCUCUCACAGGCCGACUAAGCUGAUUGUAACUGAAUGUGUGUGUGUGGCCGUGAAGCAGACUUUAUCUUGGUCUGAGUAUCAGUUCCCUUCAAUGGUACAAUUUUGGAUACUAUUUUCUUCUAGAUGUAUAGGUUUCUGCUGGUCCCAUUGGCUGCUACAUUUUAGUGAUACGAUAGCUCAAUGUCAUGCUCACCUAUUGUUCUGUAAAAAUGAAAAAUCGACUUGACUGUAUUUUGUACCUGUUUUAGUAAUUACAUGAUGUGAUUAUUUUCAUUCUAGAUAUGGAAAUAUUCUAAGGAUUAAGCUUUUUGAGACGUUAAGGUAUCUGAUGAUUAAUUAGCCUCUGUAAGAUUUAUGCACUCAUGUCAUACAACCUAGAUAAUUCUCCUUGGAUCUCCAUAAUUUCUAACUGAAUAUAGAUGUAUACUGACAGUAAAUCCCGUUUUAGUAAUUAGUUGGAUAUAAUUGAUAAUUCUUUGACAUGUUUUUAUGAAAUGUCUGCUUAAAUCAACGUUAGAUGCUCCCAUAAUCGAUUACUUUUUGGAUAUGAAUUAUUACUAUAAGAAGUAUAUUGGUUCUCUGGUGUUUUCAGUUCUUACAAUAAACAAAUUAUAUUGUUUUCCACUAAUCAUUUCUCAUGUAGUUUUACUCUGCAGUAUGUAUCUUUUGCUUCAUAACUCAUCUGUUCACAAGAUUGAUGCCUAGAAAUUUCAGCCUUCCGUGCUAAAUGUCGUCUGCUCAUUUGUAACGGCAUAGAGAUAGGAACGAGCAAUUCAUCUUAAGUUUGAGAAAGUGGCGGACAAAAGAGAACUGGACUAUUGUUGCUGAGCGCUAGCUCUGGCCGCAUGAUCAUCUAUAUAUAUAGUUUUCAACAGUGAAUGUAUCCUGAUUGGUAUAGCACAAAUGGAAAUCUUACUUUCUUCUAACUCUUAAUUUCAAGAUGAACUGGAGAGGGGAAUUUGUACUAAGUUUGGAAUCUAUCACAGUAAGUGUGUAUUUGCGGUAUUGAUGUACAGUUAUUAAGAAAGUUACAUUUUUCAGCUGUUGUGCUACUGAGAAGGAAGCAUGGCUGAGAAUUGCUCUGGCUGGAGUUGAAUGUCUUUGUGACUGAAUACUAGAGACGCUGACUUGCAGCCACUCUUUACAGUCCUACCACCUAGCUUUUAUCUCUCACCUUCUGUUAUUUUCAUGUUAACACUGCCAUUGGGGCAAAUCUAUAUUGCUUAUUGAUGGGUCUAGCUAUAGGUAAAAUUCCAUGUUUCCUACACUGUAUUAUACCCAAUACUAUUUGAAUGUUGAUUCUGACAAUCUUAAGACAUCCACCAUAGUCGUGGC